UACGUAGGGUGCAAGCGUUGUCCGGAAUUAUUGGGCGUAAAGAGCUCGUAGGCGGUCUGUCGCGUCGGAUGUGAAAACCCAGGGCUCAACCCUGGGCCUGCAUUCGAUACGGGCAGACUAGAGUUCGGUAGGGGAGACUGGAAUUCCUGGUGUAGCGGUGAAAUGCGUAGAGAUCUGGAGGAACACCGAUGGCGAAGGCAGCCUUCUGGGCCAACACUGACGCUCAUGCACGAAAGCGUGGGGAGCAAACAGG
rnacentral:rRNA from 1 species